UACGUAGGGCGCAAGCGUUGUCCGGAAUUAUUGGGCGUAAAGAGCUCGUAGGCGGUUUGUCGCGUCUGUCGUGAAAGCUUGGGGCUUAACCCCAAGUCUGCGGUGGAUACGGGCAGACUAGAGGCAGGUAGGGGAGAACGGAAUUCCCGGUGUAGCGGUGAAAUGCGCAGAUAUCAGGAGGAACACCGGUGGCGAAGGCGGGUCUCUGGGCCGAUACUGACGCUGAGACGCGAAAGCGUGGGGAGCAAACAGG
rnacentral:rRNA from 1 species